rnacentral:lncRNA from 13 species
ACCAUAUAAGGUUUUUAAUUUGCUUAUUUGUAUUAUAAAGUUAUUUAGGAUUUGUGAAAUAUAAUAAUGUAUUUAUCAUUACAGUAUGAUACUACAGUAAUUUCACUUCCAAGAGGAAAUCUGCUGUGCCUCACCAGUUUGACCUGCCUCUCUUCCAAGCCCCUGGAUUCCAGCCAGGACACCAGAUCAUAUUUAGACAUCAGGGUUUAGGUGAUGAAGACCACAGAGGAUAUGUGCCAUUCUGCCAAUUGUAUGUACUAAUGAAUGUAUUUCCCCCUUUCCAUGUUGUGCUUUUAUUUUAAAGUCGCUAACUUCAAAACAUACUUAACAAGUGAGAAAUUAUGCUUUAAAUUUUAUUGGCAAUGCUUGUAGACAUAUCAUUUGUAUUUCUUUUCCAUAGGCAAUUUAUUCUCCAUCAUUUAUUGUAUAUUUUUAAUCAAUUAU